rnacentral:sRNA from 1 species
CAGUGAUGGUUAAGAAUUUCUUCACCUGAAUAAACCAUGUGGUCAGCAUUGCAUCUGAGGCAAAAGACUGUCUUGAGCUAAAAGGUAUUUUUGCAUUCUAAAAGGGAAACUAAGGCAAAAAACCCACUUUUGUUUUCCCUCCUGCCUUUUUAGGGAAGACAAAGGCACUUUGGCUAAGCUGGUGGAAGCUAUCAGGACCAAUUACAAUGACAGAUACGAUGAGAUCCGCCGUCACUGGGGUGGCAAUGUCCUGGGUCCUAAGUCUGUGGCUCGUAUCGCCAAGCUCGAAAAGGCAAAGGCUAAAGAACUUGCCACUAAACUGGGUUAAAUGUACACUGUUGAGUUUUCUGUACAUAAAGAUAAUUAAAAUAAUAC